rnacentral:rRNA from 1 species
UACGUAGGGGGCAAGCGUUGUCCGGAUUUAUUGGGCGUAAAGAGCGUGUAGGCGGCCAUACAGGUCAGCUGUGAAAACUCGAGGCUCAACCUCGAGACGUCGGUUGAAACCGUUUGGCUAGAGUCCGGAAGAGGAGAGUGGAAUUCCCGGUGUAGCGGUGAAAUGCGCAGAUAUCGGGAAGAACACCCGUGGCGAAGGCAGCUCUCUGGGACGGUACUGACGCUGAGACGCGAAAGCGUGGGGAGCGAACAGG